rnacentral:rRNA from 1 species
AGGCUUAAUACAUGCAAGUCGAACGGUAACAGAGAUACUUUUCGGAGAAUCUGCUGACGAGUGGCGCACGGGUGAGUAACGCGUACACAACCUACCUUUUACAGAGGGAUAGCCUUUAGAAAUGAAGAAUAAUACCUCAUAGUAUAUACUAAUCGCACGAUUUGGUAUAUUAAAGUUCCGGCGGUAGAAGAUGGGUGUGCGUUAGAUUAGCUAGUUGGUAAGGUAAGGGCUUACCAAGGCGACGAUCUAUAGGGGGCGUGAGAGCGUGAUCCCCCACACGGGUACUGAGACACGGACCCGACUCCUACGGGAGGCAGCAGUAAGGAAUAUUGGACAAUGGGCGGAAGCCUGAUCCAGCCAUCCCGCGUGCAGGAAGACGGCCCUCUGGGUUGUAAACUGCUUUUGUAUAGGACGAAACGCCUUUAUUUAUGAGGGCCUGACGGUACUAUAAGAAUAAGCAUCGGCUAACUCCGUGCCAGCAGCCGCGGUAAUACGGAGGAUGCGAGCGUUAUCCGGAAUCACUGGGUUUAAAGGGUGCGUAGGCGGGCUAAUAAGUCAGAGGUGAAAUCUGGUCGCUUAACGAUCAAAUUGCCUUUGAAACUGUAAGUCUUGAAAUAUGGUGAGGUUGGCGGAAUGUGACAUGUAGCGGUGAAAUGCAUAGAUAUGUCAUAGAACACCAAUUGCGAAGGCAGCUGACUGGCCAUUAUUUGACGCUGAGGCACGAAAGCGUGGGGAGCGAACAGGAUUAGAUACCCUGGUAGUCCACGCCCUAAACGAUG